CUGGUUAUAAGCUUCUGAACAAUCAUAAGGAUGGUGCCAUUUGACAUUCGUUUACAGAGGAUGAAACUGAGGCACAGAGAAGUCAAGCAUCUUGUGCAGGGCCACGCAGCCUGCUCCAGAGCCGGGCUCUGACCCUCCACAAGAGCCAUCACUAAAGUUCCACUUACCACUGCACCUUCAAUCUCUUCCUCUCUCCAUCCCUCCCACAUGUUCACAGACAAAAUCUUCUUCCUUAUUUAAUAAAACAAUAUAAUGACCAGCCUGGCAAA
rnacentral:lncRNA from 1 species